rnacentral:rRNA from 1 species
CCUACGGGUGGCAGCAGGGGGGAAUAUUGCGCAAUGGGCGAAAGCCGGACGCAGCGACGCCGCGGGAGGGAGGAAGGUCUUCGGAUCGUAAACCUCUGUCAGCAGGGAAGAACGGUCACGGUGCUAAGCAGCAGUGAAUUGACGGUACCUGCAAAGGAAGCACAGGCGAACUCCGUGCCAGCAGCCGCGGUAAUACGGAGGGUGCGAGCGUUAAUCGGAAUUACUGGGCGUAAAGCGCUCGUAGGCGGUAUGUCAAGUCAAGGGUGAAAUCCCCGCGCUCCACGUGGGAACUGCCUUUGAAACUGGCAACCUGGAGUGUGUGCGAGUCUAGUGGAAUUCCAGGUGUCGGCGUGAACUCCGUAGAUAUCUGGCGG